CCGAGAAUAUUCGACAAUGGGCGAAAGCCUGAUCGAGCGAUACCGCGUGGUGGAUGAAGUGCUUCGGCACGUAAACAUCUUUUAUGAGGGAGGAAGUUAUUGACGUUACCUCAUGAAUAAGGGGCUCCUAACUCUGUGCCAGCAGGAGCGGUAAUACAGAGGCCCCGAGCGUUACCCGGAAUUACUGGGCGUAAAGAGUGCGUAGGUGGCUGUGUUAGUCGUCCGUUAAAACCCGGGGCUCAACCCCGGAUCUGCGGGCGAAACGGCACAACUUGAGAGCGUGAGAGGUGAAUGGAACUCAUGGUGUAGGGGUGAAAUCCGUUGAUAUCAUGGGGAACACCGAAAGCGAAGGCAAUUCACUGGCGCGUUUCUGACACUCAAGCACGAAAGCGUGGGUAGCGAACGGGAUUAGAUACCCCCGUAGUCC
rnacentral:rRNA from 1 species